UUCGGCACACACAAGGCUACAGGCCCAGAUGGGAUCCACCCAAGGGUACUGAGGGAGCUGGUGGAAUUGCUCACUGAGCCACUUUCCACCAUUUAUCAGCAGUCCUGGUUACCAGGAAAGUCCCAGUAACUGGAGGUUAGCAAAUGUGACAUCCAUCUACAAGAAGGGCCAGAAGGAGGAUCGGGGGAGUUGCAGGCCUGUCAGUCUGACCUUGGUGCUAAGGAAGGUUAUGGAGCACAUCAUCUUGAGUACAACACACAGCAUGUACAGGGCAACCAGGAUUAUAGCAUGUCUUUGGAUAAUGUUCUUAGGAAUAAGCACAAAAAAAUUGCCGGCUCAGUUCCCACAGAGAUAUGAGCCUAACUUGGAACAUAUCACUUGUUCUACCUGCUCCUGUAUUUUCCAAUAGACAUCUGAAGGAAGGAGGGAAGCAAACUAGUUCAGAAAAAGCAGGCAUAAGUAUAUGUUGGUGAUUUUGAUGCCAGGCUAGUGGAAAGAACCAAGACUUUUUUAACCCUCUAAAGUUCUUUCAGGUCAUGAACUCUGUCAGCAGCAGCUACC